rnacentral:rRNA from 1 species
AUGAAAAGAAACAAAAGCCCUGGACCUGAUGGAUUCCCUGCUGAUUUUUACCAGGACUUUUGGGAUUUAGUUAAAUGGGAUAUAAAAGCUCUGGUUGAAGGUUUUUCUAAAGGUGAAAUCAAUAUUGCCAGGCUUAAUUAUGGCAUCAUAACUCUUGUCCCAAAAACCAAUGAUGCCAAGCAAAUUCAAAAAUUCAGGUCUAUUUGCCUGUUGAAUGUUAGUUUUAAGAUCAUAACUAAAGUGCUGAUGAACAGGCUAGCUAAAUGUGUUUCCGUAAUAUCUAGAACCCAAACUGCCUUUAUUAAGGGUAGAUAUAUUAUGGAGGGAGUAGUUAUUCUACAUGAAGCUUUGAACACUUUCCAUAAAGAGAGAGAAGAUGCUUUGAUUUUCAAAGUAGACUUUUUUUAG